UUAGAGUUUGAUCCUGGCUCAGGAUGAACGCUAGCGGCAGGCUUAACACAUGCAAGUCGAGGGGCAGCAUGUCCAGCAAUGGAUGAUGGCGACCGGCGGAAGGGUGCGUAACGCGUGAGCAACAUGCCCUAUACAGGGAGAUACACCAGGGAAACUUGGUCUAAUAUCCCAUAGCAUUCAUUGAAGGCAUCUUUAAUGAAUUAGAGCUUCGGUGGUAUAGGAUUGGCUCGCGUGACAUUAGCCAGAUGGUGAGGUAACGGCUCACCAUAGCAAUGAUGUCUAGGGGUUUUGAGAGGAAGGCCCCCCACACUGGGACUGAGACACGGCCCAGACUCCUACGGGAGGCAGCAGUGAGGAAUAUUGGACAAUGGAUGGAAAUCUGAUCCAGCCAUGCCGCGUGCAGGAAGACGGCCUUAUGGGUUGUAAACUGCUUUUAUACGGGAGCAAUAAGGGUUACGAGUAAUCCGAUGAGAGUACUGUAUGAAUAAGGAUCGGCUAACUCCGUGCCAGCAGCCGCGGUAAUACGGAGGAUCCGAGCGUUAUCCGGAAUUAUUGGGUUUAAAGGGUGCGUAGGCGGCCAUUUAAGUCAGCGGUGAAAUUUUGCAGCUUAACUGUAACAGUGCCGUUGAUACUGUUUGGCUAGGAUUUGGUUGUAGUGUGCGGAAUGUGUGGUGUAGCGGUGAAAUGCUUAGAUAUCACACAGAACACCGAUUGCGAAGGCAGCACACUAAGUCAUUAUUGACGCUGAGGCACGAAAGUGUGGGGAUCAAACAGGAUUAGAUACCCUGGUAGUCCACACCGUAAACGAUGAUAACUCGCUGUCGGCGAUACACAGUCGGUGGCCAAGCGAAAGCGUUAAGUUAUCCUCCUGGGGGGUGCGCCCGCCCGGUUGGGGCUCUCCGGAGUUGGCGGGGGCCCGCCCCCGCGGCGGGGCGUGUGGUUUGUUUCGUUGGUGCGCGGGGGGCCUUCCCUGGGCUCGUUCGCGCCCGGGGGGGCGCGGGGGCGUGCCCGCCCGCGCCGGCCCGGUUGCGGCGGUGCUGCGUGGUUGUCGUCUGCUCGUGCCGUGGGGUGUCGGGUUGGGUCCCCCCCCGCGCGCGCCCCCUCCUGCUUGUUGCCCGCGCGUCGUGGCGGGGGCUCUUGCGGGGCUGCCGGCGU
rnacentral:rRNA from 1 species